rnacentral:tRNA from 1 species
GGAUAUAGAGCUCAGUGGAAGAGUGCAUGCUUAGCAGGCACGAGGUCCUGGGUUCAAUCCCCAGCCCCUCCA